rnacentral:lncRNA from 1 species
AGGAACCAUUGCUGAAGUGUUUUUGAGUGUGGUUUUCCAGCAUCACAAGUGCUUUCUCUCAACCCAUAGUGAAUCAUCUUUCUUUAUAGAGUAUCCUGUGUCUAGAUGAAUAAAACCAACUGCCUUCUGAAUUAUCAAAGCUACCCAACUGAAAAAGAAGCACCAGACAUGUUCUAUGUAUCUCCAUAAGGAAGGAAGCAGUCCAGCUCACCUUCACAAUGAAGGCAGGUAACAUACUUACAGUCUCAGGAGAGAAACCCUUGUGAAAUGGUACAGAAUUGUUCGCUUAAG